GACGAACGCUGGCGGCGUGCUUAACACAUGCAAGUCGAACGGAAAGGCCCUGCUUUUGUGGGGUGCUCGAGUGGCGAACGGGUGUGUAACACGUGAGUAACCUGCCCUUGACUUUGGGAUAACUUCAGGAAACUGGGGCUAAUACCGGAUAGAAGCUCCUGCUGCAUGGUGGGGGUUGGAAAGUUUCGGCGGUUGUGGAUGGACUCGCGGCUUAUCAGCUUGUUGGUGGGGUAGUGGCUUACCAAGGCUUUGACGGGUAGCCGGCCUGAGAGGGUGACCGGCCACAUGGGGACUGAGAUACGGACCAGACUCCUACGGGAGGCAGCAGUGGGGAAUAUUGCACAAUGGGCGGAAGCCUGAUGCAGCAACGCCGCGUGCGGGAUGAAGUCUUACUGGUUGUAAACCGCUUUCGCCUGUGACGAAGCGUGAGUGGCGGUAAUGGGUAAAGAAGCACCGGCUAACUACGUG
rnacentral:rRNA from 1 species